rnacentral:rRNA from 1 species
ACCUACGGGGGGCAGCAGUAGAGAAUUUUCGUCAAUGGGCGCAAGCCUGAACGAGCAAUGCCGCGUGAACGAGGAAGGUCUUCGGAUCGUAAAGUUCUGUUGAAGGGGAAAAAGAGCGGAGAGAGGAAAUGGUCUCCGAUUGAUAUUACCCUUCGAGGAAGUCACGGCUAACUACGUGCCAGCAGCCGCGGUAAUACGUAGGUGGCGAGCGUUAUCCGGAAUGAUUGGGCGUAAAGGGUGCGUAGGCGGCCUGCUAAGUCUGGAGUGAAAGGUACCGGCUCAACCGGUACAGGCUCUGGAAACUG